rnacentral:rRNA from 1 species
UACGUAGGGUGCAAGCGUUGUCCGGAAUUAUUGGGCGUAAAGAGUUCGUAGGCGCUUGUCGCGUCCGUUGUGAAAGCCCGGGGCUCAAACCCCGGGGAGGCGGGCUGGAUACUGGUCAGCUCGAGUCCGGAAGAGGAGUGUCGGAAUUCCUGGUGUAGCGGUGAAAUGCGCAGAUAUCAGGAGGAACAGCCAAUGGCGAAGGCAGCACUCUGGGACGGUACUGACGCUGAGACGCGAAAGCGUGGGGAGCAAACAGG